GGCUUUCUUACACACUCCAACUUCCAUUCUGUGAAUGAAUCCAAAGAAGGUUGCCUUGACAACCAUUCACCUCUCUCUCGUCAAGCACCCUGAACAGCCUCAAGUGCUUCAUUGAGAUAAAAGCCCGCAGAGCACCCAGACUCAGGACCUCUGAUGACACACAGCAGCUGAGAGGCUAACCUAGGAUGUGCUGCUGUAGAUAAAAGUCCUGAAACGCUUCCUUUCCAUCACCUUUCCUGUCAGCUACCGCAGCCAUUCCCACUGACAGGCCCUUGAACUGACAUUCCAGAGACCAAAGCAAAAUGUUGAAAAGCUGCUCCCCGAGUCCCUCGGAACCUCUCCGCAUCCCCUGAGCUGUGUCAAGCCUCAGACUGUGACAGAGCAUCUCCCAGAGCCCCAUGCAGUGAUUCACAGAAGCGGCUGGAGUGCAAUGGCGCCAUCUCAGUUCACUGCAACCUCUCCCUCCCAGGGUUCAAGUGAUUCUCCUGCCUCAGCCUCCCAAGUAGCUGGGAUUACAGGCGCCCACCACCACACCCAGGAAUCUCUCAGGCCUCAUAUCCUGGGCCAGUGGGCCCAUCAAGGAGAGAGGAAAGAGCCAGCGUCUGACAGGUGCCUACUCCGUGGCAGAGCUUCACCUAAGUUGAGUCCUCAAUUCCACACUCUGUUCGUUUGAAACAAUACUAGUCCCAGCUGUGACAUAAAAA